ACAAUGUAGUCUUUUAAGAGUCUUGUUUAGGGGAGAUUUUCUUUCUAAUAGUUUUUAUGCUUUGUUUUAUAUUAGGUUUUUAUAUGUAGGCUAAUUGGCCAAACUAUAUAAUAAUCAUGUUUUUAGUAUGUUUUUCUUUUUGUCUGAAUUAUCGCAUUUAUGGUUUUCAAAUUUUAAGCUUCUGCAUGACGCCCUCUCGAUUUCGAACCUAACAAGUGGUAUCAGAGCUUAGAAUUUCAAGAUCCAAUGAUUUGGUGAAACGAGGUUGAAGACAAGUUCAAGAUGGUUCAAAAUCAAUUUGCAACCAAUUUGAUAAUAAUGGAGAUAUAUAUUCAAGAUACUACAUGUGGAUAAAAAGUUUCAAACAAAUUUUCAACAAUCUGUUAGAGUUUUUGCCUUGAUUUUCUUACAAAAAUUAAGUUUUACUUUUUCUUGUAAGGAAAAUAAAAGUAACCAUGAAUACUUUUAUUUUUCCUGAAAGAAAAAUAUAAAAUUUUUUCUUAUUUGACAAACCUCUUUCUUGGAGGGGAGGUUUUGGACAUGUAUAAAUAGAAGUCCCCUCUUCUCAUAUAAUAACACAAUAGCAUCCACAAUGUAG
rnacentral:lncRNA from 1 species